GCUCUGAUUUUCAGAGUGCUUAACUUUAACUGUAGCUGCAGGUAAUUGGAGCUGCUGGGGUACUGUAACCCUGAAAACUUGAAACAAUGCUCUCUUUCUGAGGAGGAUGGUCUUUGGAUUAUCAAACUUGCCUGGCAAUGUGAGGUCUCUCUGUGCUAGCAGAAGGAAGAGUGAGUGCCACAUCUCCAGUCAAGAGCUGAAGUAUUGCAGGACUGUUCUGCAGACCAAGCACACAGGCAGCUCACCUUCUACUAGGAAAACCAGAAGCAAGUACCAUAAAUUCCAGAGCACCAUGUGCACUCUUCUCUACACCCCAAGAAAAAAUCAAAACAACAAAACCAAACCAAACAACACAACCCCUCCCAACAAAGAACUAGAAAAAAGAAGAAUCAACACCACCUAAGAUAAAUGAUUUGGGCAGCUGGGGGAAAAGAGGGAGCAUAUGGACCUGUACCUCAGGCACUUCUAUUUGAAACAUCUUUCCACAUUCCAAGUAAUCUCUAGUCCUGCCUAACAAGCUGCAUCCUGGGCAGCAGAGUGGGAAUUUACUGUAUAAAGUUAUAUAAGUUUUGCAGCUAUUUUUCUGAACUCCUUACAUUAUUUUCAUUAGAAAUUUGUCUGUGUGGGGGAGUUGUUGUAGAAUAAAUGCAGGGGGUGAAUUCAAAGUGCAACAAUCAGUCUGUUCUCAUUCCCAAUGUGGGUUAAGCUAAACACACAGGGACAAUUUCACUAUGGAUUAAGAAUGUCCUCCUGAAGAGUUAGUAUGCAAUAACUAUUCCAGGCUAUUUCCCCAGGUAGACAAGCCUAAACAUCUGAUAAAUAGGCCUAUUCCUUUUCCUCUUAACCAAUUAAGUACUUAUUUUAGAAGGAUAAAAUGAAUUAUCACAUAACUAUUUCACUGCAAUAAGUCUUACUUAGUGCAUUAAUGCCAGAAAAAGUGAACUACUGUCCAUAGAUUUGGAAAAAAAGGUAUUAGUGUUGUGCAUGUACAAGCAAAGGGAUAUCUCUUGACCUUAUUUUAUUUUGGGUAAAGAUUAUGAUGUAUUGUUGUUUUUGCAACUCUUCGCAUUUAUUUCACAAAAUAAAUCACAUAAUGGACUGUCAUAAUAGCCCGAGUAGCGUGACAGGAAAAAAGAAUUGGUAGAGCUACACUUCAGUGCACAGUGAAAUAGCUAACAAUUUGUUAAAUAUCCCAUGAGU